CGGUGUAAUACGUGUAGGUUUAACCAUUUUAUGAAUAAGCCUUUUAAAUCAUCCGCCUCUUAAGAUGUAGGCACUGGAUCUAAAAAUACAAACUUCAGAAUUUACAGAACAUAUGACGUACCCUGAAGAUCCUUGAAAAGAAAAUUGUCAUUCAAUAAUCCUCGCACAAAACUAUUCUGUCUAUUUACGUUAAUCGUAACUUGUCUGCUACUAUUUU